AGGGACGGCGAUGCGCAGGCGCCUGCGGAGGGGCGCGGGUGCAGGACACGGUGCGGUCCGUCCCGCAUCUGUCCCUCGUGGGGCCUCGCGGGGCCUCAGCGUUCACCGUUGGGUCGAAUGAGAAUCUCUCCUGUCUCUCCCGUCAUUUGCAGGGAAGCUAAUGUCAUCGAGGGGACGUCGGUGGCCUCAGUGCAGAAUGGACACAGAAAGGCUCUCCAAGGAGAGUUCCGGCAGAGGGAAGGCUUGGUAAAGGAAGUAAGGCAGCACUGGUGGGAAGCCCGCAGCCUUCAUCCUAGGAGCUGGGGAACGUCACGGCCGAAUGGUGGUGGAGGUCAGCCUGGCCUCAGGCCUCUAGGAAAAUAGGAAGGAGAAGUCCACGUUCCCCGUCAGAUGCAGCCCCAGUUGUCCUGAAUACCACCCAGAGUGCGUAGGAUGCAGAGACUCGAAAUCUGAAGAAAUGGAUGGAGGACCAGGUCUACUGAAACUUCCUGUUUUAAGACAGAACAGAUUUAAAAAGUAUCCACUUGGUUGUCUAAAAAGUAUCUACUGGGCUGUAUUUGUUUUAUGUGUGUGUUAGUGUGUUGCCUGCAUGUAUGGAUGUGUGUACCCUAUGUGUGUCUGGUGCCUGCAGAGGUCAGAAGGGGUCUAACCUCUUGGAUGGAGUUACACACAGUGGUGAGCCACUAUGUGGGUGCUAGGAACUGAACCCAGGUCCUUUGAAAGAGCAGUAAGUGCUCUUAAUGCUG